GUGGGGAAUCUUGCGCAAUGGGCGAAAGCCUGACGCAGCCAUGCCGCGUGAAUGAUGAAGGUCUUAGGAUUGUAAAAUUCUUUCACCGGGGACGAUAAUGACGGUACCCGGAGAAGAAGCCCCGGCUAACUUCGUGCCAGCAGCCGCGGUAAUACGAAGGGGGCUAGCGUUGCUCGGAAUUACUGGGCGUAAAGGGCGCGUAGGCGGACAGUUUAGUCAGAGGUGAAAGCCCAGGGCUCAACCUUGGAAUUGCCGUUGAUACUGGCUGUCUUGAGUACGGGGGAGGUGAGUGGAACUCCGCGUGUAGAGGUGAAAUUCGUAGAUAUUCGGAAGAACACCAGUGGCGAAGGCGACUCACUGGCCCGUUACUGACGCUGAGGCGCGAAAGCGUGGGGAGCAAACAGGAUUAGAAACCCGGGUAGUCC
rnacentral:rRNA from 1 species